AUGCUGGAGGUAUCAGAAGUGCGAAUGCUGACAUAAGUAACGAUAAAGCGGGUGAAAAGCCCGCUCGCCGGAAGACCAAGGGUUCCUGUCCAACGUUAAUCGGGGCAGGGUGAGUCGACCCCUAAGGCGAGGCCGAAAGGCGUAGUCGAUGGGAAACAGGUUAAUAUUCCUGUACUUGGUGUUACUGCGAAGGGGGGACGGAGAAGGCUAUGUUGGCCGGGCGACGGUUGUCCCGGUUUAAGCGUGUAGGCUGGUUUUCCAGGCAAAUCCGGAAAAUCAAGGCUGAGGCGUGAUGACGAGGCACUACGGUGCUGAAGCAACAAAUGCCCUGCUUCCAGGAAAAGCCUCUAAGCAUCAGGUAACAUCAAAUCGUACCCCAAACCGACACAGGUGGUCAGGUAGAGAAUACCAAGGCGCUUGAGAGAACUCGGGUGAAGGAACUAGGCAAAAUGGUGCCGUAACUUCGGGAGAAGGCACGCUGAUAUGUAGGUGAAGUCCCUCGCGGAUGGAGCUGAAAUCAGUCGAAGAUACCAGCUGGCUGCAACUGUUUAUUAAAAACACAGCACUGUGCAAACACGAAAGUGGACGUAUACGGUGUGACGCCUGCCCGGUGCCGGAAGGUUAAUUGAUGGGGUUAGCCGCAAGGCGAAGCUCUUGAUCGAAGCCCCGGUAAACGGCGGCCGUAACUAUAACGGUCCUAAGGUAGCGAAAUUCCUUGUCGGGUAAGUUCCGACCUGCACGAAUGGCGUAAUGAUGGCCAGGCUGUCUCCACCCGAGACUCAGUGAAAUUGAACUCGCUGUGAAGAUGCAGUGUACCCGCGGCAAGACGGAAAGACCCCGUGAACCUUUACUAUAGCUUGACACUGAACAUUGAGCCUUGAUGUGUAGGAUAGGUGGGAGGCUUUGAAGUGUGGACGCCAGUCUGCAUGGAGCCGACCUUGAAAUACCACCCUUUAAUGUUUGAUGUUCUAACGUUGACCCGUAAUCCGGGUUGCGGACAGUGUCUGGUGGGUAGUUUGACUGGGGCGGUCUCCUCCUAAAGAGUAACGGAGGAGCACGAAGGUUGGCUAAUCCUGGUCGGACAUCAGGAGGUUAGUGCAAUGGCAUAAGCCAGCUUGACUGCGAGCGUGACGGCGCGAGCAGGUGCGAAAGCAGGUCAUAGUGAUCCGGUGGUUCUGAAUGGAAGGGCCAUCGCUCAACGGAUAAAAGGUACUCCGGGGAUAACAGGCUGAUACCGCCCAAGAGUUCAUAUCGACGGCGGUGUUUGGCACCUCGAUGUCGGCUCAUCACAUCCUGGGGCUGAAGUAGGUCCCAAGGGUAUGGCUGUUCGCCAUUUAAAGUGGUACGCGAGCUGGGUUUAGAACGUCGUGAGACAGUUCGGUCCCUAUCUGCCGUGGGCGCUGGAGAACUGAGGGGGGCUGCUCCUAGUACGAGAGGACCGGAGUGGACGCAUCACUGGUGUUCGGGUUGUCAUGCCAAUGGCACUGCCCGGUAGCUAAAUGCGGAAGAGAUAAGUGCUGAAAGCAUCUAAGCACGAAACUUGCCCCGAGAUGAGUUCUCCCUGACUCCUUGAGAGUCCUGAAGGAACGUUGAAGACGACGACGUUGAUAGGCCGGGUGUGUAAGCGCAGCGAUGCGUUGAGCUAACCGGUACUAAUGAACCGUGAGGCUUAACCUU
rnacentral:rRNA from 1 species